rnacentral:rRNA from 1 species
GACGGAGGAUUCAAGUGCUAUCCGGAAUCACUGGGCGUAAAGCGUCUGUAGGUGGUCAAAUAAGUCAACUGUUAAAUCUUGAGUCUCAACCUCAAAAUCGCAGUCGAAACUAUUAGACUAGAGUAUAGUAGGGGUAAAGGGAAUUUCCAGUGGAGCGGUGAAAUGCGUAGAGAUUGGAAAGAACACCGAUGGCGAAGGCACUUUACUGGGCUAUUACUAACACUGAGAGACGAAAGCUAGGGUAGCAAAGGGG